UGCUAAAUAAUAUACUCAUUACUAUAGAUAAAUAAUUUGUUAAUCAAAUAAUAAACAUUGAAAAAAAAAGAAAAAAUACAAAAUUUGUCAAACCAUUAUAUUUGGAGGUUUUCUCUAAAUUUAUCGUCAUAUCAAAAAGCCAACAUAUCUUUUUUUUUUUGUUUUUUUUUGCAUCCAAAUGCUAUUCUAUUACUCAAAGAACUUGAGGUGGUUUGGGUAUGCAGAUCGAAAUAAAACAACCAAUGUAACAAAGUUCCCUUUGAAAUAAUCUCGCGAUCUUAGCUAAAGAAUCCAAAAUUCCAUUAUGUUCUCUUGGGAUGUGAGAAGUCUUGAAGUCCGGAAAACAUAUAUGCAGCGUCUUUAUCGCCUCCAAUUCAGUUGAAAAACUUGGCCAAGCUUGAGGCUCCUUUACCAUCUCAGUUAGAUUUUUGCAGUGUGUCCCAAAACUCUGACAUGACGAAUGUUGAAGCAUUCUCUCCAUUGCCCAACGCAGUGCUUCCACUUCCAAUGUAAAGCAGUCUUUCGCCUACUUAAGUUUCGCGUCCCCAUAAGUUGAAAUUUUCCCAUACUAUCCUUCUAAACCCAUCCGCAACCACUAAACUGAGCCGUGAAAGUCCAUGAACCAUCCAUCAUACAAAUAUUUUCCAAGCUUAUGACUUGGGGUUCCUCACUGCUAUGCUCAUGUGGAAUGAGUGUACCAUCUCAGUUGCAUUAUACCAAGCAUGACAUUCACUUUUCGCAUAUCGGACUAAUUCCAAAGGAUCCCUGUCUAUCCUCCUAAAUAGUUUGUCAUUCCGAGCCUUCCAGAUAUACCAGAUUAUCCAUGGGUAAGGGUCCUUGUCAAGCUGGCUCAACAAUGCUAUUCUUCCUCCAAAAGAGAUAAUCCAUAUUAGCAUAAAUGCUCGGUAGCGCGAAAAUGUUAGGACUAGAUGUUGUUGUCGAAAGGGACCAUACUUGUAAUGCUGGAGGGCAUUCAAAUAUGUCAUGAGUAACAGUUUCUUCUGGUUAUCCACAUCUUGGACAGUAGUUAUCGAAUCUCAUAUUACAGCGUAUUAGAUUUCUCGUUACAGCCACUUGUCCUGUUAUCAGUUGCCACAUAAGAUGACAUAUCUUCUGAGGUGCUUUUACCUUCCAAGCAAAGGCUUAACCUCAUAUCAUGGGUUCUUGGAUCUCCUUCUCUUCUUCAGUCCUCAUUAGAUUUCGAGCUACCCAGUAUCCCGAUUUUACCGUAUAGUGACCAUUCUUAGUGAAAUUCCAACGGAAUGUAUCUCGGCGAUGAGUUAAACUUAUGGUCAAACUUCUUAUGAGAGGAAUAUCAUUGGGGGCAACAUAAUUCUCUAGUAGUCCAAAAUUCCAUUCAUUUGUUUCACCAUUAAUGAGAUCACUGACUCUCAUAUUCGAAUGCAAAACUGGGGCAAUUGAUCGAGGCGGUCUAGCUGGUGAAGUAGGAAUCCAAGGGUCCUCCCAAAACUUAACCUCAUAUCCAGAAUGUAUUUUUUUCCUAAUUCCCAAUAGUAGUUAUUUUCGUGCCGCUGAGAUACUAGUCCAUACAUAGGACGAGCUGCUUGCUGAACUCAUUCGCAAAGGCGAAAUCAUUCUGUAAUAUAUUUCUCUCAAGACUCGAGCUACUAAGGAAUCAGGGUACUGUACUAAUCACCAAAGUUGUUUUGCUAGUAAUGCCAGGUUGAACUCAUGGAUCAUACGGAAACCAAUCCCGCCUUCUUCUCUCGGUAAACUCAUCUUUUCCCAUUUUGAGCUCCACCAGAACUGUGCAAUGGUACUUGUGAAGUUCUCACAUUUCUCCAGUGGGAGCAAAAAGCUAGACAUAACAUAAGUUGGAAGAGCUAACAAUAUAGAUUUGAUUAAGACUUCCUUCCCUUCUUUUGAUAGCCAUCUUCCCGUCCAUCCAUUCACUCUAUGCAUUAGUUUGUACUUGGGAAAAGCAAAAAGUUUACAUUUGGAGCCGCUAAUAUCUUCUGGGAUUCCAAGAUAUGUACCCAUUCCUCCUUCAUUCUGGAUCCCAAAUAUAUCUUUAAUUUGUUGUCUAACAUUUGCGCCGAUCCUCUUACCAAAGAGUAUAGAGGAUUUAUCAAAGUUGAUACAUUAGCCUGGUGUUUUUCCAUAUUUCCCUACCAUUUUCAUCACUUCUUCACAUUCACUGACUCCACCUUACAAAAGAAAAGGCUAUCAUUAGCAAAAAAAAAGGGUGGGAUACCGAGGGACACGAGCGUGUAACAUGCAUCCCCUUUAUCUUCCCUUGGUUCUCUGCAUAAUUUAUAAGGCUAACAAGCGCUUCCAUGCAUAGAAUAAAGAUGAAAGGAGACAAAAGAUCUCUUUGGCGUAAUCCUCUCUCCGGAACAAUACUCUCUUGGGCUGCCCAUUCAUAAGCACCUUGUACUUAACCGAAGAAGUACGAAGAGAUAUAUCGCAUUAUCCAGGUAAUCCAAUUUUUUGAAAAUCCCAUCUUUCACAUAACUGCUUUGAUGAAUGACCACUACAUCCUUUCGUAUGAUUUACUCAUGCCCAUCUUAAUGGCCAGUCAAAGUCAACAUAUCUAAAACCAUAAAUUUCUAUUAAAAAAAUAAUGAGUAAAACCACCAAUUUGCUUUGGUUUCUUUGUGCCCCGGGUUCAAAUUACCAUUGGUACGGUCCGGGACUUCUAUUGUUAACCAAAAAAAAUCUUGAUUUACUUUCUCUUUCAAGAAAUUAGAACAUCGAUACACCCACGUCUCUUUUUCCUAUCAACUAAAAACCAGAUCUGCGAUUUGGGUGGAGGCUCUUCGGAUCCCUGCGACCUCGUCGGACCGUAGGUUGCUCUCCCAUCCCCUCUUUUUUCUCGGCGUCUGUUCUCCAUUGUCGAACUAAUCUAGAUUUUGGUGAUUCUCGGAGGUAUUUUUCCUCUUCUUCUCGUUGUUCGAAAGGGUUUCUAGUUUAGAUAUUGAUGUAAAUAUGACCAUGAACCACUGAUAAGUUUACUCUUAUGUUUUAGUUAAAUUUUUUAAUGUAGCUACAUAUCAAAUACCAAUACGAUAUAGCUAGAAAGAUUCUGACUCUAGAUAUAUGAACUCGAUAGGAUGAUGACGUGAUAACGUUUAUGUGGAUGGUGAGAAUGAAUCUAUAUAGGCUUAAGUUUGUAUUCAAUUUCUGAUGAUCCACUAAGAAAAUGAAUUCUAAAGAGAUUUAGUAAAACACUGGGGAAAGUAUGAUUAAAUUUCUAGAAGCUUGCGCUUCAUGAUCACAAAUUGCCUAGUAUUGUUUUCAUUGGAUAAGGCCAAAUUACUCAUCCUUUUUUUUACUGCUCUCUAUAAGUUAGUUGGAUAGAAGUUAUGAUUAAGUAAGUAGAUUUGUAUAUAAGAGAGCAAUCUAUAACUUCCUUCCAUAUUCAAAGAUCAAGGAACACGAGCAAGAAAACAGAUGCGCGAUUAAAGACUAAUGAAAAACAUGACAUGUAGCAUACAUGUGAAAAACAUGUAUUGAUAUGCCAUUGUUCAGCUUUUUUUUUCUUUUGGUAAAAGCCAUUGUCCAGAUUUCAGAUAGAUAUCACAGUUUUCUUGUAUUUUCAGCGGUUAAUGUAACGGAGGCAGGUGUUGCUACUUCCUUAAUCCAGUCUCCGUAAUAUUGUAGAAUCAAGAAAGUAGAAGAGUACUCACCAAGAUUCCAUUACUGAAACGGAGGAGAACGGUGAGAGUGAUAGAGUAAGCAGCCAACUCGGUAGGGCCAAGGUGGCCAAUGAAAGCUUGACUUAUCAAAGAUACUCCCGACGUAGAGAAUCUAGUGAAGAUAGCCGGCGCGGCCACAACCCAUAACUUCUUAGAUUCCCUCCAAACCUUCUCUUUCAUAUCCAACUUAUCAUUUUCUCCACCCUCCUCGGCCGUCUUUUUAAGCAGGAUCGCCGUCAGUUCUCCUCCUUCUCCGGCCAUGGCUUUGGAGGGAAUGAAUAGAGAAAGUGGGUCGUUUAUUUGCAGAGGAAAUGAAUACCGGCCUACGCCUCUUUUUAAGAUCCUUAUUUGCCAAAUUGGUUCGGAUUGAAGAAUUUGGUUUAGUUCGGUUUAAUGCCAGAACCUUUGACGGUAAAUUAGAAUAGUCCAUUACGUCUGACAUUCGGCCAAUUUGGUUAAGUACGAAUACGAUAGACUGACCGUAUAUUUUUAUGUAAGCAUACCUUAUUAUAUAAAGUAAUAAUUUUUCUCU